rnacentral:misc_RNA from 1 species
UGGAAGUAAAAGUCGUAACAAGGUCUCCGUUGGUGAACCAGCGGAGGGAUCAUUACAGAGUUGAAAAACUCCCAAACCACUGUGAACAUACCCGUAACCGUUGCUUCGGCGGGCGGCCCCAGGGAGGGGCCGCAGCCUCCAUUGCGGAGGCGCCCGCCGGAGGACACCAAAACAUACCUAUAUUUUUGUGGCCCUUCUGAGCGAUAGCGCAAAUAAUUAAAACUUUCAACAACGGAUCUCUUGGUUCUGGCAUCGAUGAAGAACGCAGCGAAAUGCGAUAAGUAAUGUGAAUUGCAGACUUCAGUGAAUCAUCGAAUCUUUGAACGCACAUUGCGCCCGCCAGCAUUCUGGCGGGCAUGCCUGUCCGAGCGUCAUUUCAACCCUCAAGCUCUGCUUGGUGUUGGGGCACUACGGUUGACGUAGGCCCUGAAAAUUAGUGGCGGGCUCGCUGUGGGUCCGGGCGUAGUAGCGAUAUCUCGCCUGCGGCCCCCAGCAAGCUCCAGCCGUUAAACCCCCAAAAUUACAGAAGGUUGACCUCGGAUCAGGUAGGACUACCCGCUGAACUUAAGCAUAUCAAUAAGCGGAGGA